CUCGUAGGCGGUUCGUCGCGUCCGGUGUGAAAGUCCAUCGCUUAACGGUGGAUCUGCGCCGGGUACGGGCGGGCUGGAGUGCGGUAGGGGAGACUGGAAUUCCCGGUGUAACGGUGGAAUGUGUAGAUAUCGGGAAGAACACCAAUGGCGAAGGCAGGUCUCUAGGCCGUUACUGACGCUGAGGAGCGAAAGCGUGGGGAGCGAACA
rnacentral:rRNA from 1 species